GCCCUUGUAGCUUAGACCGGUUAGAUCGCCUCCUUGGUAAGGAGGAAGUCGCGAGUUCAAGCACGUUGGGAUUU
rnacentral:tRNA from 1 species